rnacentral:ncRNA from 2 species
CAACGUUCUCAGGGCGGGGUGCAAUUCCCCACCGGCGGUAAUUGCGCAACCUGCGCAUAGCCCGCGAGCGCUUGCAGGCUUGCCUUGCAAGGUCAGCAGACCCGGUGUGAUUCCGGGGCCGACGGUCAUAGUCCGGAUAAAGAGAGAACGGGA